rnacentral:lncRNA from 1 species
UCUUGUCAUGGAAAAUGUUGAAUUUAAUUGAUAAAGAGUUCUUGCUUAUGUAGUGGAAGAAUAAAAACCAUAAUGCAGUUUUGCCUUUUUUUUCUGGUUUUUAGAGUUGAUUUUUAAUCCUUUUUGAAGGCUUUUUUUUUACCCUAAAAUUUACAGUGCUCAGUGAUACCCCAGAAGAUGAGCAGAACUUGAACAUGAAGAUACUGAUUAUGCUGAAUCUGUUUGAAAAAUAUAUUCCCGAAGCAAAGAAAUACCAUUGAACAAGCCAUUGGUGUAAAAACAGUACUGUCCUCUGAAGUCUGCUCUGAAGUUGACAGUUCACUGAGUGAUUUGUUCAAGAAUAUACAAAAUGCUUUGGAUCUCUAAGAGCAUCCAAUCUGUCCUAUAAUAGGUCUUUCAACAGGUUUUUGAUUCACAAGAUGACAGUGCAGUAAUUGGAAAGCUCAG